ACGGACGUGGCGAAAUAGGUAGACGCGCUAGAUUUAGGCUCUAGUGGGAUUCCCAUGAGAGUUCGAAUCUCUCCGUUCGUA
rnacentral:tRNA from 2 species